rnacentral:rRNA from 1 species
AAACCCAACCCUUUUGGGUUAUUGUGUACUGAAUUCAUAGGUACACAAAGCUAACCUGGGGAACUGAAACAUCUAAGUACCCAGAGGAAAAGAAAUCAACUGAGAUUCCGUCAGUAGCGGCGAGCGAACGCGGAAGAGCCUAGUUAUCAACUCACUAUUUUUUCUAGCAGAAUGUUCUGGAAAGUUCAACCAUAGUAGGUGAUAGUCCCGUAUGUAAAAGAUAAUAUGGUGUAGAUAACAAUAAGUAGGUCGGGACACGUGUAAUCUUGACUGAAGAUGGGGGGACCAUCCUCCAAGGCUAAAUACUACUUACUGACCGAUAGUGAACUAGUACCGUGAGGGAAAGGUGAAAAGAACCCCGGCGAGGGGAGUGAAAUAGAACCUGAAACCGUAUGCGUACAAGCAGUCGGAGCAUUUUUUAAAGAAAUGUGACGGCGUACCUUUUGUAUAAUGGGUCAGCGACUUACUUGUUGUAGCAAGCUUAACCGUUUAGGGGAGGCGUAGAGAAAUCGAGUCUGAAAUGGGCGUUUUAGUUGCAAC